rnacentral:rRNA from 1 species
GGGAAACUGCCCGAUGGAGGGGGAUAACUACUGGAAACGGUAGCUAAUACCGCAUAACGUCGCAAGACCAAAGUGGGGGACCUUCGGGCCUCACACCAUCGGAUGUGCCCAGAUGGGAUUAGCUAGUAGGUGGGGUAAUGGCUCACCUAGGCGACGAUCCCUAGCUGGUCUGAGAGGAUGACCAGCCACACUGGAACUGAGACACGGUCCAGACUCCUACGGGAGGCAGCAGUGGGGAAUAUUGCACAAUGGGCGCAAGCCUGAUGCAGCCAUGCCGCGUGUAUGAAGAAGGCCUUCGGGUUGUAAAGUACUUUCAGUGGGGAGGAAGGCGGUGAAGUUAAUAGCUUCACCGAUUGACGUUACCCGCAGAAGAAGCACCGGCUAACUCCGUGCCAGCAGCCGCGGUAAUACGGAGGGUGCAAGCGUUAAUCGGAAUUACUGGGCGUAAAGCGCACGC